rnacentral:rRNA from 1 species
GCCCUUCAGAGGGGGACGAACAGUUGGAAACGACUGCUAAUACCGCAUACGAUCUAAUCUCGGCAUCGAGGAUAGAUGAAAGGUGGCCUCUACAUGUAAGCUAUCACUGAAGGAGGGGAUUGCGUCUGAUUAGCUAGUUGGAGGGGUAACGGCCCACCAAGGCGAUGAUCAGUAGUCGGUCUGAGAGGAUGAACGGCCACAUUGGGACUGAGACACGGCCCAGACUCCUACGGGAGGCAGCAUG